ACAUUAUGUUCCAUAAGCAAUACGUAUCACUGCGCGUGCCGUAAGACAGAUUAAUUGACUGGACCACCAGUUAUCGAUUGGAUUAUCCAUUAAGAGUCGCAGUUGCGCGGUUAAGCUUGUUAUCAGAUAAAAAACAGUAUGACCCAUAAACGUAUCGUUAACCUUUGUAUACCCACGCAUUGGUUAGACCGACGAUUUACGUUUGCCUUGGUCUUUUUUUUUUAAACCGAAAACGUUUUACACAUUCCCAUCUGAUGGUAACGUUAAUUUGAUGCUGGUAUUUUACUAAAUAACAAACCAAAAUGUCCCUAGCACUUUCGGUCUCACCCGCUGGGUACAUGUGUUACACUAUUUGACGCGGGUAUACGAGGGUCAGUAUAGUUCGAACCUGCAAAUGAUUAACGAGCCGCUUAAUCAAUACUAUACAAUUAACCCUUUGCACUCCGUUGUCGCCGUAUUUGCGGCAUUAAAAUGCUAACAUUAAAUCCACUGUCGCGGCUACGGCGACAGGGUUGUUUUACUGGCUCGGCGCUCUUAACAGCUAGUUUCUUUUCUCUGCAAUUAUAACGUUAACUACGCGGCUUCAAUGGGUGGUGUUGAUCGCGCGGAUCAAUACGACGCGUAUGUAUCGUACUGUUUCCUAAGAAAAUCUCUUAAGUGGUGGAGGAAAGUGUUCUUCUGGGGAAUGGAGAUGUCUGCCAUAAAUGCAUAAAUUUUAUAUAAGUGCGUAAAAAAAAAAAAAGCAAGAACGAAAAACCGCUGUCCCAUUUGAAGUUCGUCCCAAUUGAAGAGAUUAGUCGAUCAACUCGUAGGUGAGUUCCGCGAAGAUCGAUCAAGACCUUCCACUUCAACGCAUGAAACAAGACUGGACAAAAGACUGCGUAUAUUGCGAAAAGGCAAGAAAAGAGAUUGUCUUGCGUGCUCCAAUAGACAGGAAAAAGGACAAAGACGCGAAACUUCGGAACAUUGUGAUACUUGCCCCGGUAAACCGCGAAUGCAUAUGGGUAUUUGAUUUCGAAAGAUAUCAUACUUUAAGAAAUAUUGUAAGCCCUAAAAUUUAUGUUUUUCUCUUGUGAUAUAAGUUAGAAUAUGUUUCUUUAUAAAAUAGCUGAGAAAUAAAUGUUUUGUUUUAUUGCAA